AUUAUUUUUACAAUCAAAUCCCAUUGUUCUUCUUCAUUCUCUGAUACCAACAAUGGAGUUUCGAGGUAUUCAAUUCACAUGAAGAAUCGUUGUGUGAAUCUUCAAUGGUGACGUUUUGUCUCUUCCGUUCAAGUCAACCGAAGCGUUACGAUUGUUGUCUCUGCACCUAUAAAAAGGCAAUUGAAGAAUAAAGUUGAGAACAAUGAAGGUCUGCCUCAACCUUCUUUGGGAAGCUGCAAUGAUCGUGCAAGGAAACUCCAUGCUUCUUCUUCAGUGAUGAUGAACUGCUAUUUACUGAUAUAAAUGCCAAAGGAAGAGGUUGAAAGAUGGAACAACAACUAAGAUAAGAAGAAGAAGAGAGUAAAGGGAUGAUGAGGAAACAUGAGUCUGAUGCAGAGCUAAAAUGAGAUUUGUCAGAUGAAGGAGAGACCAAAAGAGAUUAAAAUCAUGUACAUGGCUAACUAUCAGACUUAAAAGUCUGUGUUAUUUUCUUCUUCUAUACAAAGAUUCAUUUUUUCC